ACAACGGCCCACGCGAGCACGACGUUUGGAUCAUCAAUGACGACGACGACGACGAAAAAGGAGGAGGAGAAAAAAGGGAGGAUGUGAAGAAGAAGAGGAAGAAGAAGAAGCAGAAGAGGAAGAGGAAGAGGAAGAGAAAGAGAAAGAGGAAGAAGAAGAAGAUGAAGAGGAAGAAGAAGAGGAAGGGGAAGAAUAAGAAGGGUAAAUUAUUAAUUCAUCUUAUUAAUUAAUUAUGGUUAAGUAUUUUAACUGUAGUUAACUAAAUUUCUCUAACGGAUACUAACGGCGGGACAUAUCUGAAUACAUUAGGACUUUUGUAGGGACAACUUAUAAAAGUUGAACUUUGUAGAGAUAUAUCUGCAAUUCAUCAUGUUUGCGGGGACCUGUAUGAAAUUAACCCUUUUUUUAAUACUAAAG
rnacentral:lncRNA from 1 species